GCCAGGUGUUGUGGCGGGCACCUGUAAUCCCAGCUGCUCAGGAGGCUGAGGCAGGAGAUUCGCUUGAACCCGGGAGGUGGAGGUUGCAGUGAGCCGAGAUCACAUGACUGCACUCCAGCCUGGGCGACAAAGUGAGACCCUGUCUCAA
rnacentral:SRP_RNA from 1 species